rnacentral:tRNA from 1 species
GGCCUGUUAGCUCAGCUGGUUAGAGCGUGGUGCUAAUGCGCAAGGUCGUGGGUUCGAUCCCCACAUGGGCCA